GAGGAUGUAGCUCAGUGGUAGAGCACAUGCCUAGAAUGCAUGAGGUCCUAGGUUCCAUCUCUG
rnacentral:tRNA from 1 species